rnacentral:rRNA from 1 species
UUUCGGGACAGAGAGAGCGGCGUACGGGUGCGGAACACGUGUGCAACCUACCUUUAUCAGGGGGAUAGCCUUUCGAAAGGAAGAUUAAUACCCCAUAAUAUAUUGAUUGGCAUCAGUUAAUAUUGAAAACUCCGGUGGAUAGAGAUGGGCACGCGCAAGAUUAGAUAGUUGGUAGGGUAACGGCCUACCAAGUCAGUGAUCUUUAGGGGGCCUGAGAGGGUGAUCCCCCACACUGGUACUGAGACACGGACCAGACUCCUACGGGAGGCAGCAGUGAGGAAUAUUGGACAAUGGGUGAGAGCCUGAUCCAGCCAUCCCGCGUGAAGGACGACGGCCCUAUGGGUUGUAAACUUCUUUUGUAUAGGGAUAAACCUUUCCACGUGUGGAAAGCUGAAGGUACUAUACGAAUAAGCACCGGCUAACUCCGUGCCAGCAGCCGCGGUAAUACGGAGGGUGCAAGCGUUAUCCGGAUUUAUUGGGUUUAAAGGGUCCGUAGGCGGAUCUGUAAGUCAGUGGUGAAAUCUCAUAGCUUAACUAUGAAACUGCCAUUGAUACUGCAGGUCUUGAGUAAAGUAGAAGUGGCUGGAAUAAGUAGUGUAGCGGUGAAAUGCAUAGAUAUUACUUAGAACACCAAUUGCGAAGGCAGGUCACUAUGUUUUAACUGACGCUGAUGGACGAAAGCGUGGGGAGCGAACAGGAUUAGAUACCCUGGUAGUCCACGCCGUAAACGAUGCUAACUCGUUUUUGGGCUUUAGGGUUCAGAGACUAAGCGAAAGUGAUAAGUUAGCCACCUGGGGAGUACGUUCGCAAGAAUGAAACUCAAAGGAAUUGACGGGGGCCCGCACAAGCGGUGGAUUAUGUGGUUUAAUUCGAUGAUACGCGAGGAACCUUACCAAGGCUUAAAUGGGAAUUGACAGGUUUAGAAAUAGACUUUUCUUCGGACAAUUUUCAAGGUGCUGCAUGGUUGUCGUCAGCUCGUGCCGUGAGGUGUUAGGUUAAGUCCUGCAACGAGCGCAACCCCUGUCACUAGUUGCCAUCAUUCAGUUGGGGACUCUAGUGAGACUGCCUACGCAAGUAGAGAGGAAGGUGGGGAUGACGUCAAAUCAUCACGGCCCUUACGCCUUGGGCCACACACGUAAUACAAUGGCCAGUACAGAGGGCAGCUACCAGGCGACUGGAUGCGAAUCUCGAAAGCUGGUCUCAGUUCGGAUUGGAGUCUGCAACUCGACUCUAUGAAGCUGGAAUCGCUAGUAAUCGCAUAUCAGCCAUGAUGCGGUGAAUACGUUCCCGGGCCUUGUACACACCGCCCGUCAAGCCAUGGAAGUUUGGGGUACCUGAAGUCGGUGACCGUAACA